GGGUAUCUACCCUUUGGCCUGGAAUAACACGAGGAAACUUGUGCUAAUACUGGAUAAGUCUUUACGGAGAAAGCUUUAUGCACCAUUGGAUGAGCCCGCACUUGAUUAGUUUGUUGGUGGGGUAAUGGCCUACCAAGACUUUGAUCAAUAGCUGAUUUGAGAGGAUGAUCAGCCACAUUGGGACUGAGACACGGCCCAAACUCCUACGGGAGGCAGCAGUGGGGAAUCUUGCACAAUGGAGGAAACUCUGAUGCAGCGAUGCCGCGUGAGUGAAGAAGGCCCUUGGGUUGUAAAGCUCUUUCGUCGGGGAAGAAAAUGACUGUACCCGAAUAAGAAGGUCCGGCUAACUUCGUGCCAGCAGCCGCGGUAAUACGAAGGGACCUAGCGUAGUUCGGAAUUACUGGGCUUAAAGAGUUCGUAGGUGGUUGAAAAAGUUGGUGGUGAAAUCCCAGAGCUUAACUCUGGAACUGCCAUCAAAACUUUUCAGCUAGAGUUUGAUAGAGGAAAGCA
rnacentral:rRNA from 1 species